UGGGCGUCCACCCUGCAGGGCUGGGCGUCUCCCCCACCACACCCUGCCUCUAACUUCUGUUCUGGCCGAGCCGCUCUCUCACUCCCAAGACCGUCUGGUUGGUGGAGUUCCCUGGUGGCAGCCGGUUAAGGAUCCAGCGUUGUCACUGCCGUGGCUGGGACGCCCUAGCAGUUACUGUGUACCAUGCCACUGCUCCAUCAACAGGGGAAGCGCGACACCUCCCAACCCAGGCCUUGGGGUGUCUCCAGACACAGUCUCUGUGGGAGGAGAGAGGAAAAAAACAUCAGAAUAACUCACAGGUGCAGAGCCACCCAUUCUGUUCACACGUUUUCUGCUCCUCCCUUUUGGAUGAGAGCUCCAGGCUGGGCCCUGGACCCUCUGGGGCAGAUGAGCUGCUUAUGUCCGGCAAUGUUCUGGGGAGAACCACAGGCCGGUGGGGUGCCUCUGUGUGAUGGCCUGGGGUGCUGAGAUUCCUUCCAGAAGGAAAGGAACACAUGCAUUUAUUUUUACCUGUGAGCUAGGGGAUCAGAGAGCUGGGAAGACCCUUGCAAAGGCAGCUCUGGAACUACCCCAGACCAGGGACCCCUUCCCCAGCACCCUGCUUAUCCUGGGGACCUGGCAGGAGAGAGGCUGGCCUGUUGGCCAGAGAGGGGCACUCCAACAACCCUGAGCGAAAGGUCUUUCUUAGUUGGGGUUUUUUUUUUGUUGUUUGCUACAACCACUCACAGCCUCUAAUCCAAGAAUUUCCAAGACUCGGACUGUAUGGACUCUUGGAGGCUGCAGCAUAGCCUGCAACCUCGGGUCCUUCUGCUCCAGUGGUGAAAGAACUUUCUGAUGUUGAAGAGAGAGAAAAAAAGGCGAUGGAUGGGGGCACUGAUCUUUAAGCUCCCCCUGGGAGGUCCGGGCUUCUAGUCGUCCUUCCACCUGUCCCCAAAGGCUCUUUGAAAACCCUUCAACUGGAUUAAAGAUUUGAUUAACUCGC